GCUCAGGUCCAGAGUAUAUCUACCAAUUAAAUGCUGUAAUAUAUAUUUGUAUAUAUAAUAAAAUAUGUACAGUCACAGAUCAGUUUGGCACAAUUUUAGUUUUCCUGUGGGAUGUAAUAGUGCAUUAACUACUGUACAACAGUAUGACUUUUAAACAGUCUUUCACAGAGAAUAUCAGAUUAAGCUGCCCUUCAAACAAGUUAUCACAAUUCAAACCCUGGUUUUUCAGCACUUAACAGAUCAACAAACCACAAGGCAUAUAUUUUUUUUUCCGAAAGAAACAAAACAUAAACAUC